UAGCCAAAAACUGCCUCGUCGGGCUGAGUCUGGUGCACCGGGAAGUGGUUCUGAAUGACUUUCUGAUGCCCUUGCCUUUAUAGGUAUUAUUUGUUCUAAUUGAAAUUUCUAAUAAGCAGUUAGAAGUAGGGAAGUUAUACCUUAUUGUUUUGUGGAAGUUAAGUCUAUCUGGGUAUUCUAUAUUGCCACUGUAACAUGCUUAAGCUAUUUUGUUAGUUGUAAUAUCAUGUGUGUCAUGAAGAUUCUAAGGAAAUGUAGAUGGGUGGAGAACGCUUUGGUUGUUGGUCCAUCUAGGAAACCGGAUGACGAGUCUACACACAGGCACGAAGGCCGAGUCGACUCACCAAUGACUCUACGAGUUCGAAAAUCUGUGAAGGUUGGAGCACCAGGAACGUGAUACUCAG